GAUGAACGCUGGCGGCGUGCCUAAUACAUGCAAGUCGAGCGAACGGACGAGAAGCUUGCUUCUCUGAUGUUAGCGGCGGACGGGUGAGUAACACGUGGAUAACCUACCUAUAAGACUGGGAUAACUUCGGGAAACCGGAGCUAAUACCGGAUAAUAUUUUGAACCGCAUGGUUCAAAAGUGAAAGACGGUCUUGCUGUCACUUAUAGAUGGAUCCGCGCUGCAUUAGCUAGUUGGUAAGGUAACGGCUUACCAAGGCAACGAUGCAUAGCCGACCUGAGAGGGGGACGGGCAACCCGGAACCGGAAAACCGGCCAAAACCCCUACGGAGGGCAGAGGGGGGGAAAUUUCCGAAAGGGGGGAAAGCCGAAAGGAGAAACGCCGGGGGGGGGAUGAAGGUCUUCGGUUCGUAAAACUUUUUUAUUGGGGAAAAAAAAAUGUGAAAGUAAAUGGGCGAAUCUUGAGGGAACCUAAACAGAAAGCCCCGGCUAACUACGU
rnacentral:rRNA from 1 species